rnacentral:rRNA from 1 species
AUUGAACGCUGGCGGCAGGCCUAACACAUGCAAGUCGAACGGUAACAGGAAGCAGCUUGCUGCUUUGCUGACGAGUGGCGGACGGGUGAGUAAUGUCUGGGAAACUGCCCGAUGGAGGGGGAUAACUACUGGAAACGGUAGCUAAUACCGCAUAACGUCGCAAGACCAAAGAGGGGGACCUUAGGGCCUCUUGCCAUCGGAUGUGCCCAGAUGGGAAUAGCUAGUAGGUGGGGUAACGGCUCACCUAGGCGACGAUCCCUAGCUGGUCUGAGAGGAUGACCAGCCACACUGGAACUGAGACACGGUCCAGACUCCUACGGGAGGCAGCAGUGGGGAAUAUUGCACAAUGGGCGCAAGCCUGAUGCAGCCAUGCCGCGUGUAUGAAGACGGCCUUCGGGUUGUAAAGUACGUUCAGCGGGGAGGAAGGGAGUAAAGUUAAUACCUUUGCUCAUUGACGUUACCCGCAGAAGAAGCACCGGCUAACUCCGUG